rnacentral:tRNA from 1 species
AAGCGGGGCGGAUGUAGCCAAGUGGAUCAAGGCAGUGGAUUGUGAAUCCACCAUGC